GUGGAACCCUCGGAGUGAAAUUUGGGGAGAAGCCUUGCUGGGGUAGUGAGGGAGCAAUGGUUCACCAAGGUGCGGCAUAGCCGUGGCAUGAUAUCGGAGGGCUCGGGAUGCGUGAUGUUUGGAAUGGUGGUGGUCCGCCAAGAUAUAUGUGGAUACUCAAGGAUUCCUCUUGGUUUGAGGAGGAGUGUGGAGCUUUGGCCGCAUACCCGACUCCCCCAAACCCG
rnacentral:lncRNA from 1 species